CGGUGUUCAACUGGCGUGCCCGCGGGACGUCCUGCCGGUGAGCUCAGCCCGCGAGGGCGGCUCAACUUGAAAUCCCAUCGCGGUGCUCUUCAUUGAGUGUCGAGGUGGGCCGGCACGAUUACUUUUGAACAAAUUAGAGUGCUUAAAGCAGGCUAAAAUUUUGCCUGAAUACUGUGUAUAUGGAAUAAUGGAAUAGGACCUCGGUUCUAUUUUGUUGGUUUUCGGAACCCCGAGGUAAUGAUUAAUAGGAACGGAUGGGGGCAUUCGUAUUGCGACGUUAGAGGUGAAAUUCUUGGAUCGUCGCAAGACGGACUAAAGCGAAAGCAUUUGCCAAAAACGCUUUCAUUGAUCAAGAACGAAAGUUAGAGGUUCGAAGGCGAUCAGAUACCGCCCUAGUUCUAACCAUAAACUAUGCCAGCUAGCGAUCCGCCGACGUCCCUCUGACGACUCGGCGGGCAGCUUCCGGGAAACCAAAGCUUUUGGGUUCCGGGGGAAGUAUGGUUGCAAAGCUGAAACUUAAAGGAAUUGACGGAAGGGCACCACCAGGAGUGGAGCCUGCGGCUUAAUUUGACUCAACACGGGAAACCUCACCAGGCCCAGACACUGGAAGGAUUGACAGAUUGAGAGCUCUUUCUUGAUUCAGUGGGUGGUGGUGCAUGGCCGUUCUUAGUCGGUGGAGCGAUUUGUCAGGUUAAUUCCGAUAACGGACGAGACUCUGACCUGAUAACUAGACGCACUUGCGGCAUCUCAAAGGUCCGCCGGCGGCUGGCUUUGCGCCCGUCGUCGCGCGCGAUUUUUACUGCCGGCGUACAAUAAAUUCUUCUUAGAGGGACAAGUGG
rnacentral:rRNA from 1 species